GGUUUGGCUCGUUAGAAAGUGUGCGGUUCUUCGUGUUCCAAACACAAUUCUCUCUCUGUGGAACUGUAUUUUAAGACUGAUGCAAAUCCUUGGUGUCCCUUUUUAAUGUGAAUGAAAACAACUAGAAGAGGAAGUGUGGAGGCUUGGAAUCUCAGCUGAGGCCUCGGGGUCACUGGGGAGCAGUGAGGUCCUUCUCCACUGUUGGCGGCCGGAAGCAGAGAGAGGACAAAGCAUCAGCUGCCCGCUCCAAAUUUCUCCACUCCACUUAUUCCUUCCGCAAACUUUAUCAAGCGCCUUUGGGGUCCUGGGCACUGUGCUGGUGCAGAGAAUGCGAAGACAAUGGCUGUGAGGGGGGACCGAAAAGCAGAGGAACCUGAAAAUUCCAGUGUUGGGAAACACAUUGAAGAAUUUUUUAAGCCAGCAAGUCCUGUGGCCUGGCAGAGAUUAGUCUUCAUCCUGUGAUCCUGAGCUGGACCAGCACCACUCUUGGUUGUCCCUGUGCUUGUUUCUCAGUUCUUUAAAGUCUGGAUUUGUCACGAUAUCGCCCUGGCUUCAGUGGAGUCUGAAUUUGCC
rnacentral:lncRNA from 1 species